GCAGCUGGGAUGUGAAUCAGCACCUCCAAGUCCGAGGCCAUGGUCCUCAGUCAGAAAAAGGUAGAUCACCUUCUCCAGGUCGGAGGGGCGGUCCUGCCUCAAGUGGAGGAGUCCAAGUAUCUCGGGAUCUUGUUCAGGAGUGAGGGUAGGAUGGAGCGUGGUGAAGAAAGAGCUGAGCCGUAAGGAGAGACUCUGGAUUUACCGGUCGAUCUACGUGCCGAUCCUCACCUAUGGUCAUGAACUUUGGGUAAUGACCGAAAGAACAAGAUCGCAGAUACAAGCGGCUGAAAUGGGUUUCCUCCUCAGGGUGUCCGGGCUCAGCCUUAGAGAUAGGGGAAGGAGCUCGGACACUCGGGAGGCGCUCAGAGGAGAACCGCUGCUCCUCCACGUCCAGAGGAGUCAGCUGAGGUGGCUCGGGCGUCUGGUUAGGA